rnacentral:rRNA from 1 species
AAUGAACGUUGGCGGCGUGGAUUAGGCAUGCAAGUCGUACGAACCGUGGUAGCAAUAUUACGGUUAGUGGCGCAAGGGAGAGUAAUACGUAAGUAUUUACCCUGGGGUCUGGGAUAGCGGCGGGAAACCGCCGGUAAUACCAGAUGAUAUCUCCGGCUCAAAGGUGUGAUUCCGCCCUAGGAGAAGCCUGCGGUCUAUCAGCUAGUUGGUAGGGUAACGGCCUACCAAGGCAAAGACGGAUAUGGGGCGUGAGAGCGUGCCCCCACUCACUGGGACUGAGACACUGCCCAGACACCUACGGGUGGCUGCAGUCGAGAAUCUUCGGCAAUGGGCGCAAGCCUGACCGAGCGACGCCGCGUGCGGGAUGAAGGCCUUCGGGUUGUAAACCGCUGUCGAAGGGGAGGAAAUUGUAGUGGGUUCACCCAUUAUAUUGACCGAUCCUUGGAGGAAGCACCGGCUAACUACGUGCCAGCAGCCGCCGUAA